rnacentral:lncRNA from 1 species
GAAAUAUACAAUCAUGAAAUCCUUCAAAUUAGGCUCCUUUCCUUCUUUGUAUUUGGCAAUUUAUUCUGUUGCUUCUUUUGUGAUGAAUCCAUAUCAUUGGAUAUUAAAUUUGAAACAUUGCCUUUUAUAUAGGGUUCCGAGAAGCGCUUUAAUUAAGGGAGAGGAGAGUGAUGAAGGAAGAGGAGGCGAGGGUGGGUGUUUGUGAGAAAAGGCAAUUAGAGUGGUUUACUUUGGAAUCGAUCAAUUCUAAAAUCAAAGUCGGAUUGGGCCAUAAAUGGAUUUAGCUAUUUCCAUUCCAAAGUGGAAUAGGAAUCAAAAUUUCAUUCCUAUAAAACAAACAACAAUUAUCGGCAUCAAUGAAUCUUAUUUUGAUUUCAUACCCUAAAGUAGAUGAACCAAAUAAGCCCUUAAUGUGACCCUAUUCUAAAAUGGAUAAAGUGUAAGAUAUAUACCACUUUUCGGGUGUAUAUAUGACAUUUAACCAAAAUAUAAGGGCGGAAUUUUCCUACUCAUCGAUUCAAUAGAAUUGGGGAUGUCGACGGGUUGGAUUCAGGAAGGGUUUUUCAAAAUUCAAAUUCAAUUCCGAAUUUGAAUCUGACAGGUUUUAAACAUCCGUAUCCAAAACCAUACCUAACCAAAAGCCCAAAUCCCGAUCCCGAAAAAAUCAUUUUUUACUAUAUUUUAAAAUAUAUUAUAUUAAAACCUAAAUAUUAAAAUAUAAUUCAAAUAUAAUAUCAAACAUUUAGAUAUUAUAUUAUAUAACAUAAAAUAUGUUCAGAUCAAAUUCGGUUACGGUCGUGUAUAAGCAAAAUUCAUACCAAGAUAUCAAGUUUGUCGGAUUUUUAUUUUUAUAUCUAUAUAUAAAAUCAUAUCCAUUUAACAAACGAUAAACCUACCUCGUUUGAAUUCGGAUUUGGAUAAAAUUUCGAAUAUUCAUACGUACCCAUAGAU